UGCUUUGGGAAAGGAAAAUGACGCUUUGUUUCCAGGCUUAUACGGAGGGAAAGCCGUCUGCUCUUUCGCGCAGGCCGGUGGCGUGACGUCACCUCGCCGCGCUCUGAUUGGAGGAUGGCUCCGGGCGGGAGCUCGGGGGUAAACAAAGCGGUGUCGUCUUUUCUCCGCAGCCAUUGCGGAAGGCCUUUUCUGUGGCUCUCGGAAAUCCACUGCUAGUGCUUGAACGAAGACGCGGCAUACGGAAAAAAGAGACCGGAAAUACCUCGAAAUGUACGUUACUUCGUUUGACGCGAAAGAAUUUACCCUGGGAGCAUACGAAGCACCAAUAUGCGUCCCGGUCUUCGGCGGUGAGAUGUUGAUGUGAGCCCCCCCAACGUCAGCACGGUGAUGUGCGACGCGAGUGAGCCUUUCUACUUUUUGGCGGAGACCCCUUUUCGCCAGCAAGUGUCUCGGUGUCUCCGUGAAGCACCGAAGUGUAGCUACAGCCCUCUUCGGCGAGCUGAACGGGCUGCCGAGCUUUCGAAGGCCGAUCUCCCGCAGCGCUGGAACCCGGAGAACCGCGCCAUGGCGCUCGCUGAGAAUCCACCAACUGCCGGGCUACUGAAAGGGCCCUCUGCUCGGAGGACAUGUUGCGGGCCCUGUGUAAUGCCCUCGGAGCCUGUGCGACUUCAGGGGGUCUGCGUUUCACGGCCCCGUUACCAGCUGGGAAAUUCUCCAUGGAGGUAAGAUUAUGAAAGAAACCACUCUAUGCACUCAGAGGUAGCUUUCAGAAGUUGUGGAAGCCAAAUACAGAUGCUGAUGUCUUUAGUAAAAACAAAAUCAAAUUAUUACUUGCUUUAUGACUUAUGCAUCUCUAUUUUGCAAGCCAUAUAUGGCAGGAAAGUGUCACGUGAUCUCAACCUGGUUUCUCAAGGCACUGAAAAGCUACCUGUUGCAGACCACUGUACCAUUGUCAUUUAUUAUAUGUUAUUCCCUGGCACUGUGGGAUUGGUGGCCGAGGGGGCUUGCACGCACCAGCUCGGAGAAUGUGGAGUGAAAGCUCGCGCUGCAGAACCCAGAAUCGUGUGUUCAAUCCCCACAUUUGCCCGUUUCGAUCUGGAUGAGCACUGUAUUGGCGUGCGGUCGUGUAUCACUGCUACGUGAUGCACGUUAAGGGCCCCAGGCUAGCGGUCAUCUACAGCUGGGAGACUCAUCGCCCGUUGAGGCAGAUCAAGUUUGAGACUGUAUAAACAUACACACAACCCGAUUCCUUGGCUCGCUGCUGUUAUUGCUGUGCUGAUGUUUGGAUGUAUUUUUUUUGGUCGUUGAAAUGACUACUGUGAUGCUUGGGUGAAAUAACCUGGUCAAUUACCUCUUUGGCCAUAGAGUGUUGUUCACUUGUUACUCUCUCUUCUCCUCUGGUUAAUGUAGCUCAGAUAACAGUCAUGCAGUUAGCCCGUUUCAAGUUCUCUCGACGCCACAUUCUCACAUCUCUGGCCGAUCGUCCUGCUUUCGCGCAAAACUCACACACCUCGUCUUCUUUGAUACUCCCGAAUGCACCUCGGUCGCUCACUCCGCCGCUAAUUUCAGUCCCGUGCCCACUGUUUUAUGACAACCUCCUUGACAUGACAAAUCUAGCUUCUGUAUCCAACCAUCAAUACGGGUUAGUGUUCAAUUUGUAAACUUGAUGUUUCAAAGUAACAGUACAAGCUUCCUCAAGCAUCUACCAGCAACCAAGCAAUGACAAAAACCAAAGCUUUAACUUCCAAGACUAAAAACCCAGGAGUAUGAGGACACGCUGGCCAACCCUGCUGAGGACAAGCCAGGAGUGGGACAAGCAUGUAAUCUCGGUAUAUGGAGAGGUGUCCUCGAAGUUCCCAGCUUUAAAAUUGUGGUAGUGUUUAAGUUGGUUUAAGUUCAAGGAGUCUCAAAAGAGCAAAUAAUGCAAUGUUAUUUAUUUUGAUUUGCAUCCCUUGGAUGCUGGCAGGUAUUCGGUACGAAGGGAAUGGAAUAGACAUGUCCAUUUAUGCAUUCUGCUGCUUAAAAAAUAGGGUUUCACUGAUUUUCAGUUGGUAAUGGCAUGGGAGGACAAAUACGCUGCUCAAGAGUGUAACCGGAUCGUUUGACUACUGGGACGACUCUUUUACAGGGGACGACAUCCUGUCCAGCACCAGCUUCACCAUCUGGGACCAAGUGCACGAGGGGUCGCACUGCAAGCAGAUGAAAGGAGGGCACUGCGACCUUGAGGUCAAGCUUGUACAUCUACCAUUACAGUCCUGAAUGGAUGCCAAUUGGUACUGAUGACCUUAUGAAGGUGAAACGUCCCUGGAUCUAAAGGGAAAAUUUGAUUGAAGGCGAGCUGAAGUUGUUUCUGACUUUAUCCUCUUAUGACUUGAAAGUAAUCUGCCUACUUCAUGAAUAUUGAAGAUGCAGAAUUUGUUUCCGUAACUGUCCCACUUCAACGUAAUGUGCACAUUGAAACCUGUUCCUUUUCUUUUUCUGCUUUCCGGCGAGAAAAAAAAAGCCAACGAAUCUCCCUUUUCCUUCUCGCAAUGGGGAGGUGUGCAAGACUGAUUGCAUAUUUUAUAUACGCAAUCAGUUUCAUAAGUGAAUGAAGAUAAAAGCAGAAUACAUGUUCACAGAUUAUUUGUGAAUUCUUAGACUUGCUGAAGUGAGUAGUUUAUGUUCGAGUCAUGUAAUUAUGAAGUCAAAACCAGAUUUAGUGCAUUUUUAAGGAGCCUUUUAGACCUGAGAGUUCUGUUUUGACUCAGCAAUGCACAACUCACCUUUGUUAUUCCUAUAGCACAGCCGAAACUAUAAACAUGAGCAUGUUGCCUGACCAAUGCUUGAACUGCCGUGAAAUCGACGAAGUCCCUAUCCUUCGAGAACAAGUGUCAACGGGGAAUAGUCGAAAGACCAGGGUCAAGUAUGCACACACAUACUUGAUUUCAAGCUUGCAGAUUGAAAUAAUUGUUUAUUGAAUCAUAUCCAUUCUUAAACCUGUUUGAGAUUGUAUUGGUUCAUAUUCACAGUAUAUUUAUUUUUCAUUUCAGCAAGGAAUAAUUUAGAGACAGAUGUUGGUGUUCAGGCGUGAUGCUUUUAUUUUUGUGACAUGCAAGAGGGCAAAAAAUUAGAUUCGGCUUUGUAAACUGAUUUUUUUAUGUAUUCUUCCACACAGCAUAGCAAAGAAUAAUAUAAGGGCUACAGCUGCGAGAGUUGCUACACCUGGCAUCUCAUUUGUUUUAUAGCGUGUACAGGUGAGACACUAUACUCCGUUUCUCGGUAAAUUGGCAAACAUUGUGACCCAAUAAGAGCAUCGGAGCCAGGCACGUGACAACACUCCACGGUCGAGUCCUCGUUAUUGCCACAGCAUCUGCGACAAAACAUAGUUCUAGGCUUUGUUUUUUCUUCUUCUUUUAGUAGUGUUGCCGUCGGAUUCUUCGGACCGCAACACUACACGACACUGAAGAAAGACGAAGACACAUGUUACUGAUUAGCGACACUUAAUAUAGAUCAACACUUUUUUGAGAAAAACAUGGCUUGUGAUCGAAGUUCAAACAAUCGUAGCCUUGAAUCGACCAAUUCCGCUCAAAACAUCGCCCUAGCAUUAGCACCCGCCACAGAUUCAUGGGCAAAUUGAGCAUGUGGUUGUAAGACGACAGCCGGUUCUGGCGGGUGGUCCUUGCAUUUGGCGCGGUGACACGAACGCUCCUGUGACAUGCGUCCAUGUGCCUCGCUCCGACAUUCUUACUGGGUCGCAGAAGCCGUAGCCUCCACAGUUCACCAAGCUAUCGUGAAACAGAAUGUAGACUAAGUUGCCUGCGUGCUAAUGAAAGUAGCCUUGCCAGCAUCAUGUAUUAUGUAUGAAACACUGUAUACUUCGAGAAAACAAAUAAAGCCAUUCAACCUUUCCA
rnacentral:lncRNA from 1 species